UAAGACAGAGGUGGCGAGCGUUGUUCGGAAUUACUGGGCUUAAAGGGCGAGUAGGCGGUAGGGCAAGUCUGAGGUGGAAUCCUAUGGCUUAACCAUAGAACUGCCUUAGAAACUGCUUUACUUGAGUCAGUGAGGGGAGGGCGGAAUUCCUGGUGUAGCGGUGAAAUGCGUAGAUAUCAGGAGGAAGGCCUGUGGCGAAAGCGGCCCUCUGGCACUGUACUGACGCUGAGGCGCGAAAGCGUGGGGAGCAAACAGGAUUAGAUACCCUGGUAGUCCACGCCCUAAACGGUGGGCAUUAGGUGUAGGGCUCGUAAGGGUUCUGUGCCGAAGGGAAACCAUUAAAUGCCCCGCCUGGGGAGUACGGCCGCAAGGUUGAAACUUAAAUGAAUUGACGG
rnacentral:rRNA from 1 species